rnacentral:rRNA from 1 species
CCUACGGGAGGCAGCAGUGAGGAAUAUUGGUCAAUGGCCGAGAGGCUGAACCAGCCAAGUCGCGUGAGGGAAGACGGCCCUACGGGUUGUAAACCUCUUUUGCCGGGGAGCAAAGCGAACCACGUGUGGUUCAUUGAGAGUACCCGAAGAAAAAGCAUAGGCUAAUUCCGUGCCAGCAGCGGCGGUAAUACGGAGGAUGCGAGCGUUAUCCGGAUUUAUUGGGUUUAAAGGGUGCGCAGGCGGAGUUGCAAGUCAGCGGUCAAAUUGCGGGGCUCAACCCCGUACUGCCGUUGAAACUGCAUCCCUUGAGUGCGCGAGAAGUAUGCGGAAUGCGUGGUGUAGCGGUGAAAUGCAUAGAUAUCACGCAGAACUCCGAUUGCGAAGGCAGCAUACCGGCGCGCAACUGACGCUCAUGCACGAAAGCGUGGGUAUCGAACAGGAUUAGAUACCCUAGUAGUC